rnacentral:rRNA from 1 species
AGCGAACGCUGGCGGCAGGCUUAACACAUGCAAGUCGAGCGCCCCGCAAGGGGAGCGGCAGACGGGUGAGUAACACGUGGGAACGUGCCUUUUGGUUCGGAACAACUGAGGGAAACUUCAGCUAAUACCGGAUAAGCCCUUACGGGGGAAAGAUUUAUCGCCAAAAGAUCGGCCCGCGUCUGAUUAGCUAGUUGGUGAGGUAAUGGCUCACCAAGGCUACGAUCAGUAGCUGUUCNGAGA